rnacentral:lncRNA from 1 species
GAGGCAAUACUUCUUUCAGUGCUUCUCUCAUAUUGCCAAAGUUGGACUCUAGUAAGAAUCUACAAACAUCUGAUGACCUGUGUGCACCUCUAUCUACAAACAACAAAACUGAAAACAUGGAAAGGGACAGAGAAUUAUGGAGCCGCCCUACCAAUACGCAAGUGAUAAAAGAUCAAACUGAAGCUCAACCUACCAAUACGCAAGUGAUAAAAGAUCAUACUGCAGCUCAACCUACCAAUAAACAAGUGAUAAAAGAUGUUACUGAAAAUCAGCAUGAUGUGGCACCUAAUAAGACAGGCAGAGGAGCUUCAUGGCUGC